UACAGGGGGGGCAAGCGUUGUUCGGAAUUACUGGGCGUAAAGGGCUCGUAGGUGGCCAACUAAGUCAGACGUGAAAUCCCUCAGCUUAACUGGGGAACUGCGUCUGAUACUGGAUGGCUUGAGUUUGGGAGAGGGAUGCAGAAUUCCAGGUGUAGCGGUGAAAUGCGUAGAUAUCUGGAGGAAUACCGGUGGCGAAGGCGGCAUCCUGGACCGACAUUGACGCUGAACGGCGAAAGCUAGGGGAGCAAACGGG
rnacentral:rRNA from 1 species